rnacentral:lncRNA from 1 species
AAUGAAUAAUAAUCCAAUUUGAUAAUAAUUCAAUUUAAUGAAUAAUAAUCCAAUUUGAUAAAAAAAAAAUCCUAAUAUAAAACAUGGUGAUGAAUAAUAAUCCAAUUUGAUAAUAAUCCAAUUUAAUGAAUAAUCCACCAAUUUGAUAAAAAAAAAUCCUAAUAUAAAACAUGGUGAUGAAUAAUAAUCCAAUUUGAUAAUAAUAAUCCAAUUUGAUAAUAAUCCAAUUUAAUGAAUAAUCCACCAAUUUGAUAAAAAAAUUAUCCUAAUAUAAAACAUGGUGAUGAAUAAUAAUCCAAUUUGAUAAUAAUAAUCCAAUUUGAUAAUAAUCCAAUUUAAUGAAUAAUCCACCACUUUGAUAAAAAAAAAUUAUCCUAAAUUAAAACAUGGUGAUGAAUAAUAAUCCAAUUUGAUAAUAAUAAUCCA